AAAAAUGGUGAAAUGAGCCUUAAACCCUGAAAUGGCAGGCCAAAACCCCUCUCUGAUGUCGCAAACGCGACUAAGCGAACCCUGCUAAAAACGCGGGUCUCACUUAAGCAAAGCCUCAUUCGCUUUUGUGAAGCUCGCUUAAGCGACCAGCCUUCGCAAAAGCGAGGCCUGCAAACACCAACGAAAUACAAUCAACUCUCAAAACAUCGAAAGGACACUCAAGAUUCGUUCGAAACCCCGUAC
rnacentral:lncRNA from 1 species